GCUGAAAGCAUCUAAGCACGAAACUUGCCCCGAGAUGAGUUCUCCCUGAGACUUUAAGUCUCCUGAAGGAACGUUGAAGACGACGACGUUGAUAGGCCGGGUGUGUAAGCGCAGCGAUGCGUUGAGCUAACCGGUACUAAUGAACCGUGAGGCUUAACCUUACAACGCCGAAG
rnacentral:rRNA from 1 species